AUUGAACGCUGGCGGCAGGCCUAACACAUGCAAGUCGAGCGGAUGAAGGGAGCUUGCUCCUGGAUUCAGCGGCGGACGGGUGAGUAAUGCCUAGGAAUCUGCCUGGUAGUGGGGGAUAACGUCCGGAAACGGGCGCUAAUACCGCAUACGUCCUGAGGGAGAAAGUGGGGGAUCUUCGGACCUCACGCUACCAGAUGAGCCUAGGUCGGAUUAGCUAGUUGGUGGGGUAAAGGCCUACCAAGGCGACGAUCCGUAACUGGUCUGAGAGGAUGAUCAGUCACACUGGAACUGAGACACGGUCCAGACUCCUACGGGAGGCAGCAGUGGGGAAUAUUGGACGAUGGGCGAAAGCCUGAUCCAGCCAUGCCGCGUGUGUGAAGAAGGUCUUCGGAUUGUAAAGCACUUUAAGUUGGGAGGAAGGGCAGUAAGUUAAUACCUUGCUGUUUUGACGUUACCAACAGAAUAAGCACCGGCUAACUUCGUG
rnacentral:rRNA from 1 species